GAUUUUUCCAAUGAGUCUUUGGUCCACUGCACAAUGAAGAUCAAAAGUGAGAACAUCAGUUAAACAGGAAUCUAAUUUCUAAUAAAGAAUCCACUCAUUCAAUUAUCUACUUUCGGAAGGCGCAGAAUUUUCACAAAUUGAGUACAAACGACCUAUCGAAAGAUUGAAGCAGACAAGACAUGAUAUGCACCUGAAGUUCUGUCUGAAGGUUGGUGGACUCUAGCAGGGCCUCUUUCAGUUGAUUAUCAAGCUGGCUUCUCUUCCUGGCUUCUUCGGCAGCUUUCUCCUCACUCUGAUUUUCAGACUUGAGAACAUCAGUAUUGAUUAUUCACCAAGAACAUAUUUACAUAACUCCAGUAGGAUGAGCAUAAAUAACGACUACAACCCAAGACAUUUACCUUCUUGAGCUGACUCUUAAGCUCAAUAACGUACUGCUCAUGCUGAGCUUGUUUCAACUCGAAGCAAUCCACUUCCAAGGCGUUCUCCUGCAAUGAAAUCGAAGCUUUGGCGUUCAUAUCUAGGCCCUCGACUUCUUGACACUUACUACACAGUAACACAAGCAUCGGAACUAUGAAGCCAAGGAAAAACAAACUGGCAAAAAGUAUAAUACCUGAACAUCUUGAAGUUCCUUUUUGUACUUGCCGCAAGCUACAUUCGCCCUUUCCAAUUCUUCACGUAACUCACCCAGCUGUCUGCGAGUACAGAAAAUGCUCGUGAUCUGCAUGAACUACUGCCGCAUUUUUUUUUGAUGACGACAUGACCAAACAAAGGGAAAAGCAGUUGAAAACCGUAAUCGUAAAAGAUUAUGUCAAAAAUGAGGAUAAAGUUAGUACAGAGAUCUAGUUCCUGUAAGAGGUAUAUGACAUCCUGCAGUUGAUACAAAGUAAGGAGAAUACUUCAAAUUCCAUACGCCUCAGAGAACCACCGUCAGCAGGUGGAGAAAAAAGGUGCCACUACAAACCAACAUCAAAUUACUGCACACUUAAUCAAGUACAUCCAAAUUAUCACCUCUGUAAGAAGAAGCUCCAGUUGGCGGCGCUCUGCAGAUGCAAGGGCAUCUUUCUGAGGACAAGAAAUGCUCAGCAAGUCAAAUCCAUUGGCAAAUCAGGAGCAGAAUGGAUUCAAGAGUACAGCAAGAUAUAAAGGACAUGCCAUCAUCGUAAAUCAUUGAAAAACAAACAAACCUGGGAAUCAACAAGAGGAUCGAGAGAAAGCUUGCAGUCUAGAAAGCCCACCAACUGCAAGAAUUGUGGGCACGUCAAAGUAAGCAGGGUUUGGGGGAAUGCACACCUUGAGACAACGAGUCAAAACCUAAGAUCAGUAGACAUUAAGAUCAAAGUUGGAACAUUGUAGACAAUCACUUACUUGAUCACGAAGAUCCGCGAUCUCUUGAGCCAUAACUUCUCGUUCUCCAUUGUUAUGGAAAUCUUCAAACCUACACAUGAGUGCGGUAUCAGAGGAGAGACGCAGAAUGAAGAGAAUGAGCAACCCGAAGCAUGAUAUACCAGGCAACAGCUGAGCAAGCUCAAAUUCUGAACAGAACCUCUUCCGCAACCGGCAUAACUCCAGUAACAAUCAAUAUACCCGCCAAGCAGCAGGCAGAGGAGGAAUAUUGAUUAACCUACCAAGCGAGUCAAGUGUUCAAUCUCAGUGGCUGAUCUCUUCAAUGAAUACUCCGCCGCCCGCUCGCGCCGAAGGGCACCCGCCAACACAGCUUCCAAGGACUUAAUCUGAGCUCUCAAAAGCAGCAGCACAGGAAUGUCAGCAAUUCGUCAGAUAAUCAGAAAAAGCACCACUAUGGAGACCAGCAGUCAGCAACAGUGGAGCCCAACGAGAAACAGGCUUUUUAGGUACCCAAAUCAUUCAAAUUAUGCACUUAUGAUUGACAACCUUUUUAUUAAGAACAGUGGGACUUUGAAGGGUAUUUCCAAAAUUUAAGAAAGAGCCUUCAAUGGAACUA